GCGGGCGUGGUGUAACGGUAGCACAGCUGCCUUCCAAGCAUCUAGAGUGGGUUCGAGUCCCAUCGCCCGCU
rnacentral:tRNA from 1 species